GACGAACGCUGGCGGCGUGCCUAACACAUACAAGUCGAGCGGGGAUUUAAGUGGAAGUUCUUCGGAAUGGAGAUUUAAAUUCUAGCGGCGGACGGGUGAGUAACGCGUGAACAAUCUGUCCCGGACAGGGGGAUAACACUUGGAAACAGGUGCUAAUACCGCAUAAGACCACGGCCUCGCAUGGGGCUGAGGUAAAAGGAGCAAUCCGGUUCGGGGUGAGUUCGCGUCCGAUUAGCUAGUUGGUGAGGUAACGGCCCACCAAGGCGACGAUCGGUAGCCGGCCUGAGAGGGUGAACGGCCACAUUGGAACUGAGAGACGGUCCAAACUCCUACGGGAGGCAGCAGUGGGGAAUAUUGGGCAAUGGGCGAAAGCCUGACCCAGCAACGCCGCGUGAGGGAAGAAGGUUUUCGGAUUGUAAACCUCUGUCCUAUGGGACGAAGGAAGUGACGGUACCAUAGGAGGAAGCCCCGGCUAACUACGUG
rnacentral:rRNA from 1 species